CCUACGGGGGGCAGCAGUGGGGAAUAUUGGGCAAUGGGCGCAAGCCUGACCCAGCAAAGCCGCGUGAAGGAAGAAGGCUUUCGGGUUGUAAACUUCUUUUCUGAAGGACGAAGAAAGUGACGGUACCUCCGGAAUAAGCCACGGCUAACUACGUGCCAGCAGCAGCGGUAAUCCGUAGGUGGCAAGCGUUAUCCGGAUUUAUUGGGUGUAAAGGGCGUGUGGGCGGGAAAGUAAGUCAGAUGUGAAAACUCAGGGCUCAACCCUGAUCCUGCAUUUGAAACUGUUUUUCUUGAGUGCUGGAGAGGCAAUCGGAAUUCCGUGGGUAGCGGUGAAAUGCGUAGAUAUACGGAGGAACACCAGUGGCGAAGGCGGAUUGCUGGACAGUAACUGACGCUGAGGCGCGAAAGCGUGGGGAGCAAACAGGAUUAGAUACCCCUGUAGUC
rnacentral:rRNA from 1 species